CGGAGGUGGAGGCAGAGAGAGGCAGAGGCAGGAGGACCUCUAAAUUCAAGAUAAUGACAGGAUUUGAUAAGAGGACCAGUUCUCUUGGAAGGCCUUGGGGAAAGCAGCUCAAAAACCCAGGGCUCCAUCUAGACUGUCAGGCCGUGCAGGACAGCCCCAGGGCUCCAGAUUAAACUCUUUGGAAUAAAGAGCUCUGUUUUGAAA